UACGAAGGGUGCAAACGUUGCUCGGAAUCACUGGCGUAAAGCGCACGUAGGCGGAUUGUUAAGUCAGGGGUGAAAUCCUGGAGCUCAACUCCAGAACUGCCUUUGAUACUGGCGAUCUCGAGUCCGGGAGAGGUGAGUGGAACUGCGAGUGUAGAGGUGAAAUUCGUAGAUAUUCGCAAGAACACCAGUGGCGAAGGCGGCUCACUGGCCCGGUACUGACGCUGAGGUGCGAAAGCGUGGGAGCAAACAGGG
rnacentral:rRNA from 1 species